GUUUGUUUUGAUUUUGAACAUUCUUUCCUCGUGGACGAAGCCAAACACUCAAGAGGGUGAAUAACCACAAAACAUGUCUAAAUUACUGUAUUUGAAUGCGUUUCUUUCUGAGCGUUUAAUGGAUGUUUGGGGCAGUUUAGAAAGUGGUAGUUGAGUACCAGAUCUCCCGAUCUAAACAGGAGAAUGAUUGGCUACGAAGACUGCUAGUAUGGAUCACACCGGAGAUAAAACGAUGUACAAUAGGUUCGUUGCUAUACUCCCAGCAGCUCUCUCACCCAGUCUCUGAAGGGGAGGUUGGCCCUGAGCAGCAGCACUGUGGGUCCCCCAGUCUGGGGCAGGAGGAACCAGAGCCCACACAGAUUAAAGAGGCACAGACACAUAAACAUCCAUUCAUUAUUAAAGUUCAUGCAAAAAAAGUAUCAUCCUAUAUAUCCUACAAUUUAAAAACACAAUACAACCACACGUGGAUACAAUGCAUUUAAAAUGAUUGAGGAUGACACAAUAACAAAUGUAUUUCCAUUUUGGCCUUCUUGAUGAAAACACAAUAUAUACGCAAGAUUAUAUCAUAAAAACAAAAUACAUCAUCUCAUCAAUAGGGAGGUACCAUAACUUUUUUGUUGGCUGUUCUCUCUUAAAGCAUUCAUCCCCCUGUUAAAGUAUGA
ensembl:lncRNA